GAUGAACGCUGGCGGCGUGCCUAAUACAUGCAAGUCGAGCGAACGGACGAGAAGCUUGCUUCUCUGAUGUUAGCGGCGGACGGGUGUGUAACACGUGGAUAACCUACCUAUAAGACUGGGAUAACUUCGGGAAACCGGAGCUAAUACCGGAUAAUAUUUUGAACCGCAUGGUUCAAUAGUGAAAGACGGUCUUGCUGUCACUUAUAGAUGGAUCUGCGCUGCAUUAGCUAGUUGGUAAGGUAACGGCUUACCAAGGCAACGAUGCAUAGCCGACCUGAGAGGGUGAUCGGCCACACUGGAACUGAGACACGGCCCAGACUCCUACGGGAGGCAGCAGUAGGGAAUCUUCCGCAAUGGGCGAAAGCCUGGCGGAGCAACGCCGCGUGAGUGAUGAAGGUCUUCGGAUCGUAAAACUCUGUUAUUAGGGAAGAACAUAUGUGUAAGUAACUGUGCACAUCUUGACGGUACCUAAUCAGAAAGCCACGGCUAACUACGUG
rnacentral:rRNA from 1 species